CGCCUUGCCAGCCCGCUCAGAAACUCAAAGGAAUUGACGGGGGCCCGCACAAGCGGUGGAGCACGUGGUUUAAUUCGAUGCAAACCGAAGAACCUUACCUGGGCUCAAAUGUAUGUUGACGUAUUCUGAAAGGGAUACUUCUUCGGACAAUAUACAAGGUGCUGCAUGGUUGUCGUCAGCUCGUGCCGUGAGGUGUCGGGUUAAGUCCCAUAACGAGCGCAACCCCUAUCAUUAGUUGCCAUCAGGUCAAGCUGGGGACUCUAAUGAAACUGCCUACGCAAGUAGUGAGGAAGGUGGGGAUGACGUCAAAUCAGCACGGCCCUUACGUCCAGGGCUACACACGUGCUACAAUGGCCGGUACAAAGGGCAGCUACCUGGUGACAGGAUGCUAAUCUCAAAAGCCGGUCUCAGUUCGGAUCGGAGUCUGCAACCCGACUCCGUGAAGUUGGAAUCGCUAGUAAUCGCGCAUCAGCCAUGGCGCGGUGAAUACGUUCCCGGGCCUU
rnacentral:rRNA from 1 species